UACGGAGGGUGCGAGCGUUGUCCGGAAUCACUGGGCGUAAAGGGCGCGUAGGUGGCGCGGGAAGUCAACGGUGAAAGUUCGGGGCUCAACCCUGAAUCGGCCGUCGAUACUCCCGGGCUCGAGCACUGUAGAGGCAGAUGGAAUUCCGGGUGUAGCGGUGGAAUGCGUAGAGAUCCGGAAGAACACCGGUGGCGAAGGCGGUCUGCUGGGCAGUUGCUGACACUGAGAAGCGAAAGCGUGGGGAGCGAACAGG
rnacentral:rRNA from 1 species